CGUAGGGUGCAAGCGUUAAUCGGAAUUACUGGGCGUAAAGCGUGCGCAGGCGGUUUUGUAAGAAAGAUGUGAAAUCCCCGGGCUCAACCUGGGAAUUGCAUUUGUGACUGCACGGCUAGAGUGUGGCAGAGGGGGGUAGAAUUCCACGUGUAGCAGUGAAAUGCGUAGAGAUGUGGAGGAAUACCGAUGGCGAAGGCAGCCCCCUGGGAUAACACUGACGCUCAUGCACGAAAGCGUGGGGAGCAAACAGG
rnacentral:rRNA from 1 species